ACGGGAGGCAGCAGUGGGGAAUAUUGGGCAAUGGGCGAAAGCCUGACCCAGCAACGCCGCGUGAAGGAAGAAGGUCUUCGGAUUGUAAACUUCUUUUAUGAGGGACGAAGGACGUGACGGUACCUCAUGAAUAAGCCACGGCUAACUACGUGCCAGCAGCCGCGGUAAUACGUAGGUGGCAAGCGUUAUCCGGAUUUACUGGGUGUAAAGGGCGCGUAGGCGGGGAUGCAAGUCAGAUGUGAAAUCCAUGGGCUCAACCCAUGAACUGCAUUUGAAACUGUAUCUCUUGAGUGCUGGAGAGGUAGACGGAAUUCCUAAUGUAGCGGUGAAAUGCGUAGAUAUUAGGAAGAACACCAGUGGCGAAGGCGGUCUACUGGACAGUAACUGACGCUGAGGCGCGAAAGCGUGGGGGGCAAACAGGAUUAGAUACCCGGUA
rnacentral:rRNA from 1 species